rnacentral:misc_RNA from 1 species
UCCGAGUUGACCCCGGCAGUCUCCUUUGAGUUCCCACCAUUACGUGCUGGCAACAAAGAACGAGGGUUGCGCUCGUUGCGGGACUUAACCCAACAUCUCACGACACGAGCUGACGACAGCCAUGCAGCACCUGUGUUCCCGUUCCCUUUCGGGCACACCCCCAUCUCUGGAGGCUCUCGGACAUGUCAAGGGUAGGUAAGGUUUUUCGCGUCGCAUCGAAUUAAUCCACAUAAUCCACCGCUUGUGCGGGUCCCCGUCAAUUCCUUUGAGUUUUAACCUUGCGGCCGUACUCCCCAGGCGGUCGACUUCACGCGUUAGCUCCGUUACCAAGGAAUUGCUUCCCCGACAACCAGUUGACAUCGUUUAGGGCGUGGACUAC